UACAGAGGUCCCAAGCGUUGUUCGGAUUCACUGGGCGUAAAGGGUGCGUAGGUGGUGAGGUAAGUCGGAUGUGAAAUCUCCAGGCUCAACCUGGAAAUGGCAUUGGAAACUACCUUGCUAGAGGGUUUGAGGGGGGACUGGAAUACUUGGUGUAGCAGUGAAAUGCGUAGAUAUCGUCAAGAACACCGAUAGUGAAGACAGCUUACUAGACUUCAACUGACGCUGAGGCACGAAAGCAUGGGGAGCGAACAGG
rnacentral:rRNA from 1 species